GAGCAAUGAGGAUAAUAAUUACCAUCGUGAUAAUUCGUGACGACUGUAUACGCUAUUCUGAGCUAUGC